ensembl:lncRNA
CGCCCCUGGCGCCGCGUCCGCCCUUGCCCCGCCCCUUGACUUGGCGCCCCGCCCCCGAAAUCCCUACCUCGCCUAUGACCCCGCCCCUCGUGUCGCCCCGCUCCCGAGGCCCUGGCGCCCUGCCCCCGGAGGACUUGAGGGAUCGGGCCUGGGGUGAACAACUCAAAACCUGCAGGCGCGCUCUGAGGGAGAUUGCGUCCUUACAGAGUAAAAAUCUCAAGAGGAUGGGUGUGAGCCAGCCCCCCAUCUGGCAGCCUUCUGAGUCUGCGUCCAUCCAUAUGAGCAAAGUGAUUCAGAUAUAUGUGCACAUGUAUUCCAUAAUCGCUGGAAAAGACCAUGAUGCUGGGAAAGAUUGAAGACAGGAGGAGAAGGGGACGACAGAGGAUGAGAUGGUUGGAUGGCAACACGGACUCGAUGGACAUGAGUUUGAGCAACCUCCAGGAGUUGGUGAUGGCCAAGGAAAACUGGCGUGCUGCAGUCUAUGGGGUUGCAAAGACCUGGACACGACUGAGCAACUGAAUUGAUAUGCAUGUGUUCAUUUUUAAAAAUAUUCUUUUUCAUUAUGGCUUCUCAUAGGAUAUUGAAUAUAGUUUUCUGUGUUACACAGUAGGACCCUGUUAUUAUUAUUAUUAUUAUCCAUUCUCUAAAUAAUAGUUUGCAUCUGCUAAUCCCAAACUCCCAGUUCAUCCCACCACCACUACCCCUUGGCAACCACAAGUCUGUUCUCUGUACCCAUAAUUCAGGGUUUCUAAACUAUUUGAUAAAGAAAGCUGAGUGCCAAAGAAUUGAUGCUUUUGAACUGUGGUGUUGGAG